ACAUUGGUGGUUCAACGGUAGAACUCCUACCUUCCACGUGGGAGACGGGUUUGAUUCCUAGCCCAAUGUA
rnacentral:tRNA from 1 species